CCGCGGUGGCCGGCGGGAUCUCGGCGCUGGCUCCCGACCUGCUGGUUCGCGCCUCGGAGAACGCCCGGCGGCUCAUCGCCGCCACCGCAGAC
rnacentral:tRNA from 1 species